UACAGAGGGUGCGAGCGUUAAUCGGAAUUACUGGGCGUAAAGCGAGCGUAGUCGGUUAUUUAAGUCGGGUGUGAAAGCCCCGGGCUCAACCUGGGAAUUGCAUUCGAUACUGGAUAGCUAGAGUUCGGCAGAGGGAAGCGGAAUUUCCGGUGUAGCGGUGAAAUGCGUAGAUAUCGGAAGGAACAUCAGUGGCGAAAGCGGCUUCCUGGACCAGAACUGACGAUCAGGCUCGAAAGCGUGGGGAGCAAACAGG
rnacentral:rRNA from 1 species